AAUUUUUAGAAAGAUUAUGUUACAAGGAAAACAACUUGAAACCUUUAAAGGAAUUCAUGAGAGAAUUUGCAAGAUCAUGUAUAACUAGAGAUCAAGAAAUGCCAUGAAAAUUGCUAAAUGGCCAAAAGUGAUUUUGUUCGGUAGAAUGGAGCCAUUCUAUCUGAACUAAUAUAAAUACUUUUAAUAUAAGUAUCUUGUAAUGAUCUCUGUUUCAGCUUCAUCACAUCCAAGAGGCAAAAAUUUUCCCUUUUCCA
rnacentral:misc_RNA from 1 species